AAUAAAAUCCGCGGAAGUUCAAUUAAAAUACCACACCAUAGCCCAACAGAAUCCGGUAUCACGAAUAUGGGCCUCUAAUACAGAAUAUCCACCUAUUACAAGUCUGUCUAGGAAGAAUGCGGAAUAAAAGAUAGAGAUAGAGGGGAGAGAUUAAGGUUGCGAACGCCAUGCAGCUACCUCGAUACUCCCGGAUACUGCUGCUCAGCUAAACAAAUCCUCACUCAGCCUGUAGUGUACCUAGAUCUGCACGCAAGGUGUAGGGAGUAAUGUGAGUACUCCGACCCAGUGAGUAAUAAACAUAAAUAAAGGCUGAGAAUAAGAAAUCAUGGAAAAAUACAAAGUAAACUAUAACUGGCAGUUUAGAACAACAAAUAGUGAAGCAACAAGUCAAUUAAAUCAGAGUACCAUAUACUGAGACAAGUAUAACAGAUAAAAACAAAUGCAUGAGUGCAAUGCAAUGCAUAUGAUGGUACACUCUAUGCAUGAGUGCAAUGCAAUGCAUAUGAUGGUACUCUCUAGUACCCACUGCGGCGUGCAGCCCGAGCCAUCCAUUUUAUUUAUCGUCGACGGCGCUCACUGGGGGUGUGUAUAGACUCCGGAGAGGCUCCUACNAGCCCAAGCGCAAUAUCAAGCCAUCUCGUGGCAUCAAAUCUAGGCCUUCGGCCUCAUAUCAAUAUCAGUAUAAUCAUCUAGGCUCUCGGCCUCAAUAUCAAUGUAACCAACCAGGCUCUCGGCCUCAAUAUCAAUAUAACACUGCUGCGGUGUGCAGCCCGAUCCAUGCUCAGUCCAGAAAUCAUCAUAAGCCCCUUGGGCAUUUGUAAAACAGUAGUUCUCAACCCGAAAUAUCAUUUAAAAAUACCAUUUAAGUUUUCAAAUCUUAGAAAGAUGGCUGAGUUUGCAAAACAGUAUUUAAAAAAACCUUGGACUGAGAUCAAAUGAUAUGCAUGUAUGCGAAAACAAUGAUGUCAAUCCCUGAAGGAUUCAAAUUAUUGGCAAAAAGCUCAAAUGUAACAAUUAAAUCCAAGUAAGGAUGAUUCUCAAUUUAGUUCAAGUAGAAAACACGGUAAAAACAUCUCUCGGGACGGACCAAGUCACAAUCCCCAAUGGUGCUCUACCCCACGCCCGUUAUCUGGCGUGCAAGUCACCUCAAUAUAACGUUACGAUGUGAAAUUCCGGGGUUUCAAACCCUCAGGACAUCAUUUACAUCAAUUACUCACCUCGAACCGGCUAUUUCUUUAGCUCGCGACGCCUUUGCCCCUUAUUGACCUCUGAAUGCCUCAAAUCUAGCCAUAACGAUUCGAUUCAGUUAAUAAAAAUUAUAGGAAUUAAUUCCAUAUGGAAUUCUACAUUUUCCAUCAAAAAUCCGAAAUUACACUCAAAAUUCGCCCGUAGGGCCCACGUCUCGGAAUCCGGCAAAAUUCAUAAAAUCCGACAACCCAUUCCGAUACGAGUUCAACCAUACCAAAAUUAUCAAAUUCCGACAACAACUCGACCUCCAAAUCUUAAUUUUUCAUUUUUGGAAGAUUUUGCAAAAAUCUUGAUUUCUUCCAUUUAAAUCCGAAUUAAACGAUGAAAAUAACCAUGGAUUUAUGUAAUAUAAACACUUUCGAGUAUAGAACACUUACUUGAGUUGAAAUCGUAAGGAACACCUCAA
rnacentral:lncRNA from 1 species